GGGGUUGUAUUGGAAUCGACAGGAAAUGUAAUGGUUUAGUAAGCAUGUCGUAGGAUGAUAGCACGCUACGUAAAAAACGGGUAUCGACUUUUAAAUGGCAAUACUUCUUUUGCUGUUGCAGCCUAAUUCUAGUAGUUAGUAUGCAUCUGUGUCCCGGGAUGGAUGUCUGAUAAAUUCCGCAUGACACAUCAUAAAACAUCAGGCUGGAUGCUUAAUAGUCCCGCUUAAUCAUCGAGAAAGAGGGAAUAAGGUUUGGUAAGCUCGUUUUCUAAGCUCCACCAAAUCUGACAAGUAAAUAGAAAACUAAACAUGUAGAAAGUUAAAUGAUUCUUUCUCUGGACGCGGGUUCGAAUCCCGCCAGCUCCACCA
rnacentral:tmRNA from 1 species